rnacentral:lncRNA from 10 species
GGAAGGCGAUGGGUUAUAACCUUAUAAGGAGGAUAAUGAAACUUAGUGUCAUCCGGGAAGGUUGUAACCCCAUAGUACUCAACCAAUGAGGAACUAGGGGAGGGACUUGCGUACCGGAGAUAAAUUACCUGUUGUGACUGACCCAGGUGCGUCGUCCCAGACACCCGAUGUUACAAGACCGUUAUAAAAAGUCUCAUUUUCACUGUUCUUCGUGCCUCUAAGUCCAUUCUUUGGGUUUGAACGGGUGAGUGUGUUUCUCACAACCUGAGGGCCCGUUCGGGAUCUCUGUGCCUACGUGGAGUGGGACUCCGGCUGAGAGAAGAGACAUGUCCCACCCGAUUUUUGUGCCCCACUCUGUCUGGGUGUCCUGGCUCCCCACAGAAGCCAUAGAUAAACCCGAGACUGUUAUUCAGGAGACGGUGGAGGUGACGCAGGGAGAAAAGCAGGCACUGCGGCAAACAGGCAACCUCGUGCACCAGCCAAGGUUGGGUAUUUCCUUCAGCCUAUUAAAGGAAUUGGGAACCUGUGGUACCUUCCUUUGAGUGUCACGGGAGUACCAUCUCUUUACCUUGGCAAGAGCAGAUCCUUCAUAUCUGUAGUUGAAUCACACACUCUCAGAUAUCUGAGCUUGAAUUCUACAGGGACACUUAUCUCAGCUUUUGAGUUUUAGGAGAAAUAGCCUGCAGACCAGAGAAUAAGGAAAAGUUGUUUCCUGCCAAAGAACAAGCAGUAUUGUGAAAUAUAAAAUUUUAUUGUUGCGGUGAAAGAAAAUUUCAGUAUCAAAUUUUUGAAAACAGCAUUGCAUGCUACUCCCUCAAACCUUUUUCUGGUAUCAACAACACAUCUUGGCUGGUGGAAACUGCUUAAUAACAUUUGCAUGAAAAUGUGUUUAGUCAAGGUACCCUUUUCUCCUCUGGCCAAAUAUCAGCAUUCAAUCUAAUACAAAACACUUGAAUUCUCUCUGGCAGAAAAUGCAAUCCUGAGGGAUACGACAAAAAAAAAUAAAAGCUAUUUUCUGCCUGAUUAAUCUGUUCAUUAGCUUCUAAUUUCUAGAUCCCUGUAGCUACAAAAUGCCUGUCCUUCAGAGACUUAGGCCAAUUUUGCCUAUAAGCCUAUGAGUUAGCAUAUGUCUUCACAGUAUCUUGGAGUGGCUGGAGGUAGAGUGAUAUAUUAGCCAGAACUGGAGUCUGUUAUUUGCAACCAAGAUACCUAAAUAAUAUUAUUAAAAAGUAUAAUAUUGACCAAAAUAUAGAUUUCUAGGACAAAUUUGUACAUUCAGUGAAAGGAAAAGCACAGUUAAAAUCUGUAUAGUUUCAAUGAAAGACUCAUCCUCUUCGGUUUGGUUUGGGGUGCCUUUAUACUUAGGAUUUCUCUGCUCAAUCUUUCAUUUCUACUACCAAGUGCAAUAAUAUAGGUUAAGAAUCUUUAUUGGACUGGGAAGGAAGUACCCACUCCUUGAUUAUCCCUUUAUCCAGGCUUGUAAACUAAGGCAAAACCGGGCCUUGACACAAAGAAAAGAAGGAAUGAAGAAAGCUGUUUUAUAUUUUUUCUUAGUUAAAUCAUGAAACUCAAAACUAAAAAAAAAAAAAAAGUCUCCUGGGCCCACACUUGCUUAAUGCAAAAUCAGAAAAUGUACGGAACUCCAAACAAAUGCUAGCAAUCCACUGAAAUCAUCAUUUGAAUUAAAACUAUAUUUAGUCUUCAUAAGCCUAACACAGUUCACAUUAAAUUUCAAAGGUGACUCCUAAUUACACAUAUGCAAUCUUACAAAUCAAUAGAGAAAUUCAGGCAAUCCCAUAGAUGUAUGAGAAAAUGAAUUGGAUAGGCCUUUUAUAAAAUGUAAUAUCCAAAUGGCCAAUGAACACAGAAAAUGUGAUUAUUUUAUUGGUCAUAAAAAUACAAAUUAAAACUAUAAUAUCCUACAAAUCUAAUGUAAAGCAAGGUGACUAUUGUGAAUAAUACUGUAAUGUAUACUUGAAAUUUGCAAGAGUAGGUAUUAAAUGUUUUCAUCUUUCCCCCAAAAUUGAUACCAAUGUAAGAUGGUGGAUAUUUUAAUUAGCCUGAUUGUGGUAAUCAUUUAGCAAUGCAUACAUAUACAAAAACAUCGUGUUGUACACCUUAAAUAGGUAUAAUUUUUUUUUUUUUUUUUUUGAGACGGAGUCUUGCUUUGUUGCCAGGCUGGAGUGCAGUGGUGCGAUCUCCGCUCACUGCAACCUCCGCCUCCUGGGUUCAAGCGAUUCUCCUGCCUCAGCCUCCUGAGUAGCUGGGACUACAGGCGUGCACUACCACGCCCAGUUAAUUUUUUGUAUUUUUAGUAGAGGCGGUGUUUUACCAUGUUGGCCAGUAUGAGAUACAGUUUUUAUUUGGAAUUAUUAUACCUCAAUAAAGCUGAGAGAGAGAAACCUAUAAUAUUCUACUAUUACACAGCUGUUAGGAUUGCUAAAAUGAAAAUGAGGAAAAUAAGAAGUAUUGGCAAGGAUAUGGAGCAACUUAAAUUCUCAUAUGUAGCUGAUAGAAAUGUAAAACUGAUAGGCAGAAUAUGUUAAAAGGAGUGUAUAAAUAUACUGUAACUCAAUAAUUUUACUACCAGUUAUGUUCUCAUGUAAAUAUGUAAUAUGUUCUCAAAAUGUUAUAUACAGGGAUUUUAAAAGUGACACUACUUAUACUUGCCCAAAAGGAAACCAAUACAAAUGUUAUCAAAAACACAUUGAUACAUAAAUUGUAUUACAUUUAUACAACAAAAUAAUACUUUACCGCAAUGAAAAUGGAUAAACUACAAUUACAUACAACCAUAUGGAUGACUCUCAACUGCAUAGUGUUAAAUGAGACAAGUCAAUUCAAAAAGUACAUGUAUAUUGGAUGAUAUCAUUUGCAUAAUAUUCAAAAACUAAUUAUGAGGCUACAAAUCAGAAUACUGGUAAGGCUUGGGGAGAGCAGUAUUGAGAAGAGGGAAGGAGAGAGUGUGCAGUUUCUGGAGAAGUUCUGUUUCUUGUUCCUCUUGCCAGUUACACCAUUGAAUUCAUUUAGUGAAAAACUUAUCAAACAACCUACUUUUUAUUGGUGUACUUUUCUAGGCACAUGAUGUACUUGGAUAAAAUAUUUACUGUAAAAAUAAGUGGCUGAAAUAAAAAUCAGUGUUACAGAUCUUGAAUAUUUCCUGUGAAGAGACAAAGCUUACAUGACAUUAGUGAGCAAAAAUUUGUUUACUUGUAAUAUUGUACCAAUUAUUAAAAACACUUCCCAUAUCUCAUCUACUGUCUAUCUUUCCUUGAUAACCCUUAGUGCAGUGAAAUAAAAUCUUAGUAAUCAAUUAUUGUUGGCUGAUGCAAAAAGGACAGAAUUAGUUCUAAG